rnacentral:rRNA from 1 species
UCCUGCGCCGAAAAUGUAACGGGGCUAAAGUCUGGUACCGAAGCUGCGGAUUUAGAGGUUAAACUUCUAAGUGGUAGGGGAGCGUUGCCUAAGCAUAGAAGCAGUACCGUGAGGAGCUGUGGAGUUUAGGGAAGUGAGAAUGCCGGUAUAAGUAGCGAAAAGAAAGGUGAGAAUCCUUUCCGCCGAAAGCCUAAGGUUUCCUGAGGAAGGUUCGUCCGCUCAGGGUUAGUCGGGUCCUAAGCUGAGGUCGAAGGACGUAGGCGAUGGACAACAGGUUGAUAUUCCUGUACCACCUAGUCACCGUUUGAGUGAAGGGGGAACGCAGUAGGGUAGGCAAUCCGGGUGAUGGAAGUCCCGGUCCAAGCGAUUAGGGUGCAAGAUAGGUAAAUCCGUCUUGCGUGAAACCUGAGACGUAAUGGGGAGUUGCAUUAAGCAGCGAAGUUGUUGAUCCCACACUGACAAGAAAAGCCUCUAGCGAGGUGACGGGUGCCCGUACCGCAAACCGACACAGGUAGGCGAGGAGAGAAUCCUAAGGCGCGCGAGAGAACUCUCGUUAAGGAACUCGGCAAAAAUACUCCGUAACUUCGGGAGAAGGAGUGCUCCUGUUGGUUAAGACUUUACGUUGUAAGCUGAUAGGAGUCGCAGCAAAUUGGCCCAAGCGACUGUUUACCAAAAACACAGGUCUCUGCUAAGUCGCAAGACGAAGUAUAGGGGCUGACGCCUGCCCAGUGCUGGAAGGUUAAGGGGACGGCUUAGCGCAAGCAAAGGUCAGAACCGAAGCCCCAGUGAACGGCGGCCGUAACUAUAACGGUCCUAAGGUAGCGAAAUUCCUUGUCGGGUAAGUUCCGACCUGCACGAAUGGCGUAACGACUUGGGCGCUGUCUCAACGAGAGACUCGGCGAAAUUGUAAUAUGAGUGAAGAUGCUCAUUACCCGCAGUAAGACGGAAAGACCCCGUGGAGCUUUACUGUAGCUUGAUAUUGAAUUUUGGUACACACUGUACAGGAUAGGUGGGAGACAUAGAAGCCAGGGCGCUAGUCUUGGUGGAGUCACCGGUGGGAUACCACUCUUUAUGUGCUGGAUUUCUAACCAGAGGCCGUAAUCCGGUCAUGGGACAGUAUCAGGUGGGCAGUUUGACUGGGGCGGUCGCCUCCUAAAAGGUAACGGAGGCGCCCAAAGGUUCCCUCAGCGCGGUCGGAAAUCGCGCGUUAGAGUGUAAAGGCACAAGGGAGCUUAACUGCGAGACAUACAGGUCGAGCAGGGACGAAAGUCGGGCUUAGUGAUCCGGUGGUUCCGAGUGGAA